rnacentral:misc_RNA from 1 species
AGCAGCCGCGGUAAUUCCAGCUCCAAUAGCGUAUAUUAAAGUUGCUGCAGUUAAAAAGCUCGUAGUUGAAUUUCGGGACCAUCAUGUCGGUCGUGCCUCGGUACGUACUGGCAUUGUUGGUUUCUACCUUCUGACGAACCUCGAUGUCAUUAAUUUGGUGUCUUGGGGAAUCAGGACUGUUACUUUGAAAAAUUAGAGUGUUUAAAGCAGGCUCGCGCUUGAAUACAUUAGCAUGGAAUAAUGAAAUAGGACGUUUGAUUCUAUUUUGUUGGUUUCUAGGAUCGACGUAAUGAUUAAUAGGGAUAGUUGGGGGCAUUAGUAUUCAAUUGUCAGAGGUGAAAUUCUUGGAUUUAUUGAAGACUAACUACUGCGAAAGCAUUUGCCAAGGAUGUUUUCAUUAAUCAAGAACGAAAGUUAGGGGAUCGAAGACGAUCAGAUACCGUCGUAGUCUUAACC